rnacentral:ncRNA from 1 species
GAGUUUGUAACCAUUCUCUUUCGUAUAACCCCGGUAAUACGGUCCGGGGGUCUCUACCAGGAGCCGUAAAAUCCUGAUUACGAAAAAUGCUGCCAUAUCC